CCUACGGGUGGCAGCAGUGAGGAAUAUUGGUCAAUGGACGCAAGUCUGAACCAGCCAAGUAGCGUGCAGGAUGACGGCCCUCCGGGUUGUAAACUGCUUUUAGUUGGGAAUAAAAUGUUCCCCGUGUGGGAUUUUGUAUGUACCAUAUGAAUAAGGAUCGCCUAACUCCGUGCCAGCAGCCGCGGUAAUACGGAGGAGCCGAGCGUUAUCCGGAUUUAUUGGGUUUAAAGGGAGCGUAGGUGGAUUGUUAAGUCAGUUGUGAAAGUUUGCGGCUCAAGCGUAAAAUUGCAGUUGAAACUGGCAGGCUGGAGUACAGUAGAGGUGGGCGGAAUUCGUGGUGUAGCGGUGAAAUGCUUAGAUAUCACGAAGAACUCCGAUUGCGAAGGCAGCUCACUGGACUGCAACUGACACUGAGGCUCGAAAGUGUGGGUAUCAAACAGGAUUAGAUACCCCUGUAGUC
rnacentral:rRNA from 1 species